UACGGAGGGGGCUAGCGUUGUUCGGAAUUACUGGGCGUAAAGCGUACGUAGGCGGCUUUGUAAGUUAGAGGUGAAAGCCCGGGGCUCAACUCCGGAAUUGCCUUUAAGACUGCAUCGCUUGAAUCAUGGAGAGGUGAGUGGAAUUCCGAGUGUAGAGGUGAAAUUCGUAGAUAUUCGGAAGAACACCAGUGGCGAAGGCGACUCACUGGACAGACAUUGACGCUGAGGUGCGAAAGCGUGGGGAGCAAACAGG
rnacentral:rRNA from 1 species